rnacentral:rRNA from 1 species
CCUACGGGUGGCAGCAGUGGGGAAUAUUGCACAAUGGGGGAAACCCUGACGCAGCGACGCCGCGUGAGUGAAGAAGUAAUUCGUGAUGUAAAGCUCUAUCAGCAGGGAAGAAAAUGACGGUAUCUGAGUAAGAAGCCCCGGCUAACUACGUGCUAGCAGCCGCGGGAAUACGGAGGGGGCAAGCGUUAUCUGGAUUGACUGGGUGUAAAGGGAGCGUAGACGGGAGUGCAAGUCUGGAGUGAAAGGCGGGGGCUCAACCCCAGGACUGUUCUGGAAACUGUACGGCUGGAGUGCAGGAGAGGUAAGUGGAAUUCCUAGUGUAGCGGUGAAAUGCGUAGAUAUUAGGAGGAACACCAGUGGCGAAGGCGGCUUACUGGACUGUAACUGACGUUGAGGCUCGAAAGCGUGGGGAGCAAACAGGAUUAGAUACCCUUGUAGUC